GUGCUUGCUUUGGUGGUACAUAUACUAAAAUUGGAACAAUACAGAGAUUAGCAUGGCCCCUACACAAGGAUGACACAAAUUUAUGAAGCAUUCCAUUAAAAA